GUGAGCAGCUCUCUGCAAUACUCCACAGCUUAAGCUCUGCAGCUGAAGAAGCAGAAUCACAAAGGGCUCUGCCCAUGCCAUUCAGAAGGCUCUCAGAUUUUUUGCAGUUUGAGGAGGACCUGGCAGACAGCGACACAAAGCGAAGCCAGUUGAGAAAGUUCAUCCGAUCUGUUGGAGGUGGCAACCCACGAGAGCUGACAUUCCGGUUCCUAUCACGCCUCUUGGGAUACAGUGUUGGGAAAGAGUACAGCUUGUUCGGAAAUAAAGGAAAGAGGAAGUUCAGCAAUCUUACCACAUGGACUAUCAUGCUCAACUAUAUGACAGAAACUAAGGGAGCUACAGUGAAAGAGGUCGAGCAAGCUACGAUGUCCUGGCUCCGACAUGCG